AUUGAACGCUGGCGGCAGGCUUAACACAUGCAAGUCGAGCGGGGUGAUGGUGCUUGCACUAUCACUUAGCGGCGGACGGGUGAGUAAUGCUUAGGAAUCUGCCUAUUAGUGGGGGACAACAUCUCGAAAGGGAUGCUAAUACCGCAUACGUCCUACGGGAGAAAGCAGGGGAUCACUUGUGACCUUGCGCUAAUAGAUGAGCCUAAGUCGGAUUAGCUAGUUGGUGGGGUAAAGGCCUACCAAGGCGACGAUCUGUAGCGGGUCUGAGAGGAUGAUCCGCAACACUGGGGAUGAGACACUGCCCAGACUCCUACGGGAGGCAGAAGUAGGGAAUAUUGGACAAUGGGGGGAACCCUGAUCCAGCCAUGCCGCGUGUGUGAAGAAGGCCUUAUGGUUGUAAAGCACUUUAAGCGAGGAGGAGGCUCUUUUGGUUAAUACCCAAGAUGAGUGGACGUUACUCGCAGAAUAAGCACCGGCUAACUCUGUGCCAGCCGCCGCCGUAA
rnacentral:rRNA from 1 species